ACGGGAGGCAGCAGUGAGGAAUAUUGGUCAAUGGGCGGAAGCCUGAACCAGCCAAGUCGCGUGAAGGAUGAAGGUAUUAUGUAUUGUAAACUUCUUUAGCAGUGGAGUAAUAAGGGAGUCGUGACUCCUGAUGCAAGUACACUGAAAAUAAGGAUCGGCUAACUCCGUGCCAGCAGCCGCGGUAAUACGGAGGAUCCGAGCGUUAUCCGGAUUUAUUGGGUUUAAAGGGUGCGCAGGCGGCCGUGUAAGUCAGCGGUUAAAUCGUGGAGCUCAACUCCAUCCCGCCGUUGAUACUGCAGGGCUUGAUUGCGGUCGAGGUAGGCGGAAUUCGUCGUGUAGCGGUGAAAUGCAUAGAUAUGACGAAGAACACCGAUUGCGUAGGCAGCUUACCAGGCCGUAAAUGACGCUCAUGCACGAAAGUGCGGGGAUCGAACAGGAUUAGAUACCCUGGUA
rnacentral:rRNA from 1 species